rnacentral:rRNA from 1 species
UAAUACGGAGGAUCCAAGCGUUAUCCGGAUUUAUUGGGUUUAAAGGGUGCGUAGGCGGGCCCUUAAGUCAGUGGUGAAAGUUUGCAGCUUAACUGUAAAAUUGCCAUUGAAACUGAGGGUCUUGAGUGUAAAUAAGGUAGGCGGAAUGUGUUGUGUAGCGGUGAAAUGCUUAGAUAUAACACAGAACACCAAUUGCGAAGGCAGCUUACUGGGAUACAACUGACGCUGAGGCACGAAAGCGUGGGGAUCAAACAGGAUUAGAUACCCUGGUAGUCCACGCAGUAAACGAUGAAUACUAGCUGUAUGCGAUAUACUGUAUGUGGCACAGCGAAAGCGUUAAGUAUUCCACCUGGGGAGUACGUUCGCAAGAAUGAAACUCAAAUGAAUUGACGGG